AUGUUGUACGGCACUCUUGUGCUAGAGCUGGUUUACCUGGGCGUGCAAACAGCUCUCCGAGACAAGUUCUCCGGCAGAAUUCGACAACAUAGCCUUAUUGGAUUACUAACCGAUAACACAUGGCGCUACAAGUUCAGGGCCUUCGGGCUGGGCAAGGUUGCCGAAUUGUUACAAUGCAAGGAUUCGAUGGACCAAUACUUGACGUACAUGAAAUCUAGCUAUUUGUGUGAGGAUAUUACAGAAUUGGUCCGCCAGCAUGUUGAAUCGGGGUGGAAGGACAUACAUGACAAUGAGACUUACAGGAAGUUUAACGAUGCCAGGGGCGAAUGGACGCUCCGCCGUAAGAAAUGUCUCCCGCAACUGGGUUGGAGCUUACAGAGGCCAUUUGAUGAGACCAUUAUUCUCUGGCACCAGGCGACAGAUAUAUGCCUUCGGUCCAAGGCCAUGUCUCGUGGUGAUCUGGAAUGUGCCCGUCAGUGCGAAGUAAUAUCCAACUACAUGAUGCAUCUGUUGUUUGCUAAUCCUGAGAUGCUAAUGCCAGGCAGCAGAAAGAGCUUGGUCACAAAGGCCUCCGACGAAGUCAAGAACAUCCUCAGCAAAUCCAGGAACGAGAUGGAAUUUAUAGGGACAAUAACUGGCAAAUGCAACGAAGGUUCUGCUCCCGACCUUUUUAUUCACGACGCUUCGGUGCUUGCUAGAAGCUUGUCAGGUGAUGAACUUGAUGAUCAUGGUGAUGUCACCAGGAAGUGGGAGGUGAUCCAAGGCGUGUGGGUGGAGAUGCUCUGCUUUUCUGCCGGCCGGUGCCGAGGAUACUUGCACGCGCAGGCCCUGGGGACUGGUGUGGAGUAUCUCUCCUAUGUCUGGGUCCUUUUGGCGUACACCGGGAUGGAGACAUUUCCGGAAAAGCUUCAGAGGAGGGAGGGUCAGACGGUUGACGGCGAGUCUUCUCUUCAUGGCGGAAGAGAAGAUCCCGCUGCUACUACUACAUCUGCUUCCGGAAGUGAAGACUGGGCGCAUGUCGCCCUUGACGUGUGA
rnacentral:rRNA from 1 species